UUAUCAUAUGCGAGCAUCCCAGUAAAUCGAUGGCAAAAUGGCCGCGUCCUAAUAUGUCCGAAUGAUAACCAACCAUUGGUACAGAGGGAAGGAUUUAAAUUUCUAAAAGGAGACGAGUCUUAUGUGUAGAACAUAAUCCGCACAUAGAGGAAUGAAUACACCUUCCGGUGCAGUAGGUGGCGCCAUUUAACCUAAGAAGAAGAAGGUCCGAAGUUGUGCUUGCAGCGUUUUCAUUCCUGUACUUGGCAUUCGACGGGAAAAUAACAGAAUCCAGCUCCUUGGGCACCUCCUGUUUUUUUGAUAGAUGCUGAACCCAGUGCACACCAUCACUCCCACUUGAGACAACCUCCAUGGCACAGUUGGACCGUCGGUUAACCCAGAUGAUGUGUGUUUUCCAGAAGUUUUGACCACUGGGAUCCUUUUACACGGGCUACAAGCGGCAUCACAGCACGGGCCCCUCAUUCAGGAGUAUAUGGUAUGCAUGAGGAUCCUGUGGCUGCUGAAGUUGACAUACGCGGCACAGAAAUACCACAGGCAUCAAACUCCAGGUUUGUGAGCUGGUCCAAGUGGUUAUUUGGCCCAUGUAGUACUUCACAUCUGCAGGUAGUAUGGACAUACA